AGGACGAACGCUGGCGGCAUGGAUUAGGCAUGCAAGUCGAACGGAUGUAGCAAUACAUUAGUGGCGGACUGGUGAGUAACACGUAAGCAACCUGCCUAUCAGAGGGGAACAACAGUUAGAAAUGACUGCUAAUACCGCAUAUGCCAUAAUCACCACAUGGUGAUAGUGGGAAAGGAGCAAUCCGCUGAUAGAUGGGCUUGCGUCUGAUUAGAUAGUUGGUGGGGUAACGGCCUACCAAGUCGACGAUCAGUAGCCGGACUGAGAGGUUGAACGGCCACAUUGGGACUGAGACACGGCCCAGACUCCUACGGGAGGCAGCAGUCGGGAAUAUUGCGCAAUGGAGGAAACUCUGAUGCAGCAACGCCGCGUGAGGGAAGAAGGUUUUCGGAUUGUAAACCUCUGUCUUCGGUGACGAUAAUGACGGUAGCCGAGGAGGAAGCUCCGGCUAACUACGUG
rnacentral:rRNA from 1 species